CCGUGCUAUAACGGUAUGCUAUC
rnacentral:snRNA from 1 species